UACAGAUAUUAUUAAACCAGCAUAAUUAGCUUUGUCUGUAACAUUGCAUUUAAGAAAUGCCUUGCAAUAUUCCUCUGCAUCUGUUUCAUCUUUCAGCUUUGUGAUACCAGCUGCCCAUGCCACCGAACCACAAAACCAAAACAAAGUCAGGAGUAUGGUCACACCAAAGUCCUACGUUGAUAGGUGAAUACAAAAGAUAGCAGCGUGAAUACUUUAAGAACUAAAAUUAUUCCAGUAAAUUGGA